CCCCAAAGAUGAAAAUUCUUAACCCAUAUCAAACAGUAACUUUUCCACCUUCUAAUGUAGAUUCUAUGUCUAGGAGUCCAUGGACAAUGCUAAUUAUUUGCAUGAGCAAGAACCAUACAGCCAAUAAGUUAUACCUUUUCAUGUAUCACAGCCUGCCCUUCUCUUGCCAAAAGUGAACUUCGUGGCACUACUUCUUGAUGGGUGUAUGUUAUGUGGAGAGAAAGACAAUUAAACUCCAUCACAUAUUAACAGAACAUAAAUCAUUUUAUAAGAGCUUGCCAUAUAGACAGGAUGAAGUUUGAGCAUCAGAACCCUUAAAUUCAAGUCCUGCUUUUGCAUGUGCAGCAUGCAUAUGAGAGAGAGAGAGAGAGAGAGAGAGAGAGAGAGAGGCGGGGGAGGGGGGGGAGGUUGCUUUUAACAUACACAGGCAUGCAAGCACACACACACAUAUAGAUUACAUUGUAAAAGAACCAACAAGCAAUACAGGACAAGAAAUUUAGUUCCACAAAAAUAUGCCCACAAAGCACUACCUGUGAUAUGAACAUCCCUUCUGAAACUUUACUUUAGGAGAUGACCAGGCCAAAGCGAAUGCAACAGUGCA
rnacentral:lncRNA from 1 species